rnacentral:lncRNA from 1 species
GAGGCCAGCCUGGUCUACAGAGUGAGUUCCAGGACAGCCAGUGGUACACAGAGAAACCAUGUCUUGAAAAACAAAAAACAAAGAAGAAGAAGAAGGAGGAGGAGGAGGAGGAGGAGGAGACCAGCAUCACUGAGGUGAAAUCUUCUGGGAAGUGCUUUCUGAGAGCACAAAGAGCUGUGUUCCACAGAUAGUAAAGGUUGUACCUUGUGCUACAGCUGUACUUGGUAAUAUGUAAGAGUCACUCAGGUGGUACUGGUUUUAAAGGCAUGAAGGAGUCAUGGGGAAUAGCUAAGGCUUAGCACUGUGAGAAGCCACAGAAGGCCAUUGGUGAAGGUGCAGCCUCAGGUGCAGUUGAUGACCCAGGACUGAAGGGGCCAUGCAAAAUGUUAAGACUUUGUGCCAUAAAGGGAACCUAUGAGAGGCUGUUGGUGAAGCCUACUUGCAGCGAAAGACCCCAGCAUAUUGGAGAUGCCAGUACCAUGGGAUGAUCACCAAGAACAACAGCAGCAGUGGCGUGGGGUCAACCAGAGCCUAGAGUGCUACAGAGGGCAGAGCUGAAGAUGUGACCUAAACCCUUUGGAGGAGCCCAGAUGAUCUUGUGUGGAUCUCAGACAUUGGAACAAAAGCUGUAAAGUUGAAAUUAUCUUGGAGACCCCAAGAUGUUAGAGAUGCCAGAGUGUGAGAUAUCUGCCAAAGAGAGCUGCUAACAGGGAGUGGAACCAGCCCGAGAGAAAAGUUUGUUGCAGUCAACAAAGAUGAAAGGAGUUGGAAAUCUGAAGAAUGCUUUGACGUUAGACAUGGAGAUGCAAAGUUUGGAGUUUGCCCAGCUGGUUUUGGUUUUGUUUAGUCCAGUAUUUCCACACUAUGUCAUUUUGAAAUGGUAAUUUAUAUCCUGUGAUGUUUAUGGUGUGUAUCUGCUUGCCUUCCCUCUGCAUAUCAAAUAUUCAUGGUU